AAGAACUUGAAAGGAACCAACAUCUUCCUCAAUGACGACUUCUCUGAAGCUGUGCACCAGAGUCGGAAAUAACUUAUCCCAGCGAUGAAAGCUGUCAGAGAGCAUGGGAACAUUGCUACCAUCCAAAGGCUCAUUGUCCACCCUCCCUCUUUCCCUCCCAGGAAUGAUAGAGCCAAGCCUCAGGGUCAGGAUUCAGCCCAACAUCACACACACACACAUAUUUAUUUUUUCUCAUUAUUAUAUCCAUCUCUGAUAAGCUACCAAGGAAAGGGCUAAGAAUAGUCCAUAUUAAUAUAUGUAGCCUUAAAAAAAGGUUAAUUAAUGAAAUCAAUAACUUGCUUACAUCGGAUAUCAUUCAUAUACAGGCAAUCUAUGAAACUCAGUUAGAUAAUUCCUUUGAUGACACAGCAGUAGGGAUUUAACAUUAACAUGAAAAUACAGGAAUGCCUAUGGUAGAGGUGUUGACGUAUAUGUUCAGAGCCAUAUUCCUGUAAAGCUUAGAGGAUUUCCUGUCAAAUUUAGUUGAAGUGGUUGCAAGUUCACCUGCCUCAUCUAAAGCCUCUUCUUUUGGGGUGCUGCUAUAGACCACCAAGUGCUUACAGUCAGUAUCUGGAUAAUAUGUGUGCAUUGCCUCAAAAUAUUUGUGAGGUAUAUUUUCUGGGUGGCCUCAACAUUGACUGGUUAGCAGCUAGCUGUACUCUCAAGAGGACGCUUCUAACUGUGACUAAUGUCUGUAAUAUGACCCAGAUGAUCCCUUAACCAACUAGAGUGCACACCAAUAGUGUUGGAUCUGUUAUAUCCACUUGUAUUGAUCAUACCUUCAAUAAUGCUGCAGAGCUUGGCUCAACAUGGAUAUCUAUUUCCAUUGGCUGUAGUGACCAUAACAUUGUGGGAUGGUAAGUUGGUGGUUGAAGAUAUCCCUCUAGUGAUGUGGAGGCUGUGCUUUUGCAAAGUGGGUGGGGUUACAUCUUGCCUGUUUUGCCCUGUCCAGGUGAAUCGUCGGAUGGGGUCACAGUGUCUCCUGACCCCUCCUGUCUCAGCCUCCAGUUUUUAUGCUGCAGUAGUUUAUCGGGGGGCUAGGAUCAGUCUGUUAUAUCUGGAGUAUUUCUCCUGUCUUUUCCGGUGUCCUGUGUGAAUUUAAGUAUGCUCUCUCUAAUUCUCUCUCUCGUUCUGUUUCUUUCUUUCUUUCUUUCUUUCUUUCUUUCUUUCUCUCUCUCUCUCUCUCGGAGGACCUGAGCCCUAGGACCAUGCCUCAGGACAACCUGGCCUGAUGACUCCUUGCUGUCCCCAGUCCACCUGGCCGUGUUGCUGCUCCAGUUUCAACUGUUCAACUGAUAUCAGCUGACGCGAGAUAAAGUCGUGUGCGGUAACAUUACAAUGUCACUGACGAGGAGAGAGGAGGAGAAGAGGAGAGAAGAACAGAAGAGAGCGAUGAAGAGGGGCGAAGAGAGGAAAUGAAAGAGAGAGGAGAGGGGGGUAUCAUUGUGUUUCGGUGUGAGUUAAUCAAUUAUGUGUUUGCGCAUGGUAUAUAUCCCAGGUUCCCGUUGAGGUGCCAGCAUGCAGACAUGUUAACUCUGCUCACUGGGCUUUGUUCAAUGCACCUGAUACUGGGAAGCCACAUCAGGAAAUGAAAUAAACCAGCCCACUUAACCCCCUGUUAAACCACUGUGUGAUAAUGUGUUUGUAUGGUACAGCUGAUGACAUCCACUUUAUAGAGAUACCGUUUGUUUAUUUGUUUAAUGUGCUCUAGUAUGAAAUGUUUGGCCACAUAUGUGUGAGGAGGGAUUGUAUGUGAAAUUGUCAACCAAAUGUGUCAAGUAACCAAACAGCCAUUAAUGGCUGCAGAGGCCAUGCUAUUUGUUUGAAAAACAUUUAGCAAAAAGCCUCCUAGCAUCUUUUUAUGUGACCCAGUUCAAUUAGUAGGCCUCUACCAAACGUAACAUUGGACUAUUAAUGUACUCUGUUUGGAUAAAUGCCAUACCUGUCCUACUCUUGCCUCCCUGUCAUUCAGCUAUAUUUGGAGAAUGUCUAGUUUGUUCUCUUAUUGUUUGGCUUGUUUCCAGCCAAAUUUUCUCCUCUACCCAAACUCCUGGUGAAGAAGCCAUUUUUUAAGCGGCAGGAGUACAGUCAUCCAUCAGAUACCCCGCCCAGGUGAUUUGCAUGUUAAGAGGUUUACUCCCCCUCCCUCGCCUGUUAUUGCAAAGUUUCUCCGUCCUGUCGCAGAGGAAAACUAAUAUCCAAAGCAAAUAUAUUUUUUUGCUUUUAUUCAUGUAACCAAGAUUAACAAGUAUAAGCACUGCAUAAUGGCGGGUAGAAUCAAAUUCCUGGGAUAUGACUUUCAAUGCAAUAUGCCCAAUAUUUUAUGUUAAUACAAUAAAAAUGUAAAGUUGAAAUUAUGGUCUUAUUUUUACGUAAAAGGUAUGCUGAAGAGUAGUGUGGCACACACAUGGCUGAGCCCCCGCCAAGGGAUAGGCUGUUGCUAAGAGACGAGGGAAGGGAACGGACCAUUGCCAAUGAUGAAUUAACUGAGGAAGGUGGGUGACAGUAAUCUUUGUCACUAGAUGCACUGGCUGUCUAAGUCCUGUCAUUUUAUGCAUCUCAUGCAAAACAGAUGUACCCAGAUACUAGGAGGGAAUUUUUUUUUUUAAAUUCACCAGGAGAGGAUCAUUUUUUUUUUAUAUACACGGCUAGGGGUUGGAAGGAUGUCACAAAGAAUGUCAUUAUUUUUCAUCCCAUAACGAUAAGGUGGAUUAGAGCAUAUUGUAAAUUUCCCUCGGACUCUAAAUAAUUUGGGAAGUUUUCUUCCCUCCGUUGUGUACUCAUUACAAUGGGAUCAGGGCAGAGAUGCUCAAUCACCUCCAGAGAAGGAUAUGCUUACACACACAAAUGCCCCGACAUUGCACCCCCCCACUCCCUCUCCCGCUCUCCUCCAUCUGUUCUAUCCCUCUCUCUUCUUCCACUUCCUUCACCUCUCCUCCUCCCUUUUCUUUGUCUAUCUCUCUUUCUCUACACAAUCUUAUCUUCUCUCCUCCUCCCCUCCCCUUUUCAUCUCAUCCAACACUCCUCCUCACCCUCCCUUUCCCUCUUGUUCUCCCUUAGUCAUCUUCCUCUCACCCAUCUAUCCAAUAACAGUAGAACGGCCUGAACGGAAACCAGUCCUAGUAGCAGCCUAUGUCUGCAGAUGACUUACUAAGUAUUGUUUUGUUGGUUAUGCUCCGAAAACAUGUGACUGCUCAUCAUGCUCUUCAAUCACAAUUCCUGCUCAUGGAAGUGAAAAUGAUGUAUGUUUCAAAUCAAAUCAAAUUUUAUUUUUCACAUGCUUCGUAAAAAAACAGGUGUAGACUAACAGUGAAAUUCUUACUUACAGGUCCUUUCCCAACAAUGCGG
ensembl:lncRNA